rnacentral:hammerhead_ribozyme from 1 species
GCAGCUUCUCCCGAUGUGUGUCGGGACUGAUGAGUCGGAAACGACGAAAAGCAGA